rnacentral:rRNA from 1 species
AGUGAGGAAUAUUGGUCAAUGGGCGCAAGCCUGAACCAGCCAUCCCGCGUGAAGGAAGAAUGCGCUACGCGUUGUAAACUUCUUUUCCAGGGGGAGAAUUUUCCUGUCGAGACAGGGAUUGACGGUACCCUGGGAAUAAGCAUCGGCUAACUCCGUGCCAGCAGCCGCGGUAAUACGGAGGAUGCGAGCGUUAUCCGGAUUUAUUGGGUUUAAAGGGUGCGUAGGCGGAUUGAUAAGUCAGUGGUGAAAUUCUGCAGCUUAACUGUAGACUUGCCGUUGAUACUGUUAGUCUUGAGUGUGGUCAAGGCAGGCGGAAUGUGUAAUGUAGCGGUGAAAUGCUUAGAUAUUACACAGAACACCGAUUGCGAAGGCAGCUUGCUGGGUCAUUACUGACGCUGAUGCACGAAAGCGUGGGGAUCAAACAGGAUUAGAUACCCUGGUAGUCCACGCCGUAAACUAUGAUCACUCGCUGUUGGCGAUACACGGUCAGCGGCUAAGCAAAAGCAUUAAGUGAUCCACCUGGGGAGUACGGCCGCAAGGCUGAAACUCAAAGGAAUUGACGGGGGCCCGCACAAGCGGAGGAACAUGUGGUUUAAUUCGAUGAUACGCGAGGAACCUUACCUGGGCUUAAAUGUGGAGUGCAUUGGUGAGAAAUCAUCAUUUUCUUCGGAACUCUCUGCAAGGUGCUGCAUGGUUGUCGUCAGCUCGUGCCGUGAGGUGUCGGGUUAGGUCCCAUAACGAGCGCAACCCUUAUCGUUAGUUGCCAGCGGGUCAAGCCGGGGACUCUAACGAAACUGCCGGUGUAAACCGAGAGGAAGGUGGGGAUGACGUCAAAUCAGCAUGGCCCUUAUGUCCAGGGCUACACACGUGUUACAAUGGCCGGUACAGAGGGCAGCUACCUGGAGACAGGAUGCGAAUCUCGAAAGCCGGUCUCAGUUCGGAUCGGAGUCUGCAACUCGACUCCGUGAAGCUGGAUUCGCUAGUAAUCGCGCAUCAGCCACGGCGCGGUGAAUACGUUCCCGGGCCUUGUACACACCGCCCGUCAAGCCAUGGAAGUUGGGGGUGCCUGAAGUCCGUAACCGAAAGGAGCGGCCUAGGGUAAAACCAGUGACUGGGGCU